GGUUUUUCUGCAGGUCAGGACUCAAACCCAGAGAGCUUUACCUGGUAUUCAGGCCUUUUCAGGGUUAUGAAGGCCCUUUAAUCAAAGUUACCUGUAAGCAGGUGAGAAAUAUCAAUGAUUCCUCCAAGUAAAUGAAUCACAAGUAUGUAAUGCAUAUUAUACCUACAUGACUUAUUAAUAUUCUCACUGGACCCUUUUUACUGUUCCAGGGAUUUCUAAAGUGGUCAUAAAAUCCUCCUAAACUGUGACGUACUCCGCUGUUAUAGUAGAAGCACAGUCACAGCGAUGUUAACUAGAUAAAGAAGGUCGUCCAGACUAACUUUGAUGUUGGUUUGAGAAAGCCAUGCAGUCUAUCAGACAGAAGGAGGUGUUCUGCAUGGCUGCUAAGAGUUUGACAUCAGCCUCUCAAAGCUUUUCAUUGCACUGGGGGUUAAUGCCACAGUAAGACAACUGUACAAUCUCUUUGUGAUUAGUUGUACUUUAUUAUUUGCAUUUAGCAUUGUUUUCCCUGAUAUCAGUGACCCAUCAGAACAGACCUGAGAACCACUGCUGUAGAGAUCAUGAAUGAGAUGAAAAAGCACACAUCAUGUCAAGCUCAUAUCAUAAGAGUGUGAUGUGAGGAUGAGAUGGAUCCAGCACGUUUGCUAUAAUGAUGUUUGUUCCUCUUUGUCAGGGCGUUCGCUCUGACCCGGAUAUUCCCCAGACUUUACGGCUGGAGUUUGCCAAAGCCAACACCAAGAUGGCCAAGAACAAACUAGUAGGAAUGCUAAACCCUUCGGCAUCCAGACAGAGUCCUGCACCUCUGUGUCAGUCGAGAGCCCUAAAUGGAGAAGCAGAUGAUCUGCCUCCAGUGUUUGUGUCAGAUUCGCUGGCUGCCGACCGUUCUGUUGACGUCUGUGUGAGUAUAAGUGUCCUCAUAAACCAUAUAUCCAAGCACACGCAGAGUAAACACAAGAUUUCUACAUUACACACCUGUGGAAAAUGACUCCACGAACACCCUCAGCUCUCCUCCAUCAGAGCAGAGCAAUGAUUCGGCUUAACAUCCUUUAAUCAGUAUUUCUGAGUCAGUGAUGACAAAGAACCCAUUUAUGAAAGAUAAUAUCAAGAUCAUGCCUGUCACUGAAUCUUGUUUUGUCUGAGAUGUUGUUUCGACAUUUAAAUCAGAAAAGAAAAAGGACUGAUUUGUGUUCAUGGAGCAGCUUUGUGUGUCUCUGCGGCUUGAGUUUGAUGUUUUUCAGUCUGCAGGUGCGGCGGCGACACAGACGUCCUGAUCUUUCUCUGUUCAUCUGAAUUACUCUCCCAUCUGUCUUCUGCCUGAAACCAGAAACAAGAAGUGAGAGACUGUUGUCUCUGAUCUCAGGCUGCUGUGAACCACAGAACACAAGAACAGACCUCUCUCUCCUGGACGUCCCUUCUUACAUUGUGUGUCAACUUUAUUAUAGUUAAUAUAUGCAUGAACUAUGAUCAUUUACAAUGUUAUUCUUAUUGGUUCAAUCAAUAAUUACUGUAAGUUCUAACGGGGUUGAUGCAUGAUGCCUUGCCAAAAAGAUUGCAAUAUUUACACAUUUUUAUAAUAAAUUAAAUGAAAUGUUUUCGGUGCCAUUUUAGUGUAAUUUCUAUAUGUUGUUUCUUAUAUGUACAAUAAUGUUUUUGAUGUUUUAUUGAGCUGUCAUUAAUCUGCUUCAAUCAUUAAAAACAUUGUGAGACAUGUUUGAAAACAGGCUGAGAGACUCGUUUAAUGUUUAAAUAUAGUUAGAGAAACUUCGUCCCCCUCAGAUGUACUAAUAAGCAGUGUUUCUGCGGGCCGGAGCACAUGCUGCUGGAUAUAAACUUGAGUUCUGGCAAAUGUUGUGCUUACAUGCUUUUCCACUUUCAGCCUUAAAAAACCUUAUUAUAUUUGUGCUAGUCUGUGUCUAAUUGUGUGUCCUCUGGAAUCAAAACG